CUACGGGGGGCUGCAGUGAGGAAUAUUGCACAAUGGGGGGAACCCUGAUGCAACAACGCCGCGUGGAGGAUGACGCAUUUCGGUGUGUAAACUCCUUUUAUAUGUCAAGAAAAUGACGGUAGCAUAUGAAUAAGCACCGGCUAACUCCGUGCCAGCAGCCGCGGUAAUACGGAGGGUGCAAGCGUUACUCGGAAUCACUGGGCGUAAAGGACGCGUAGGCGGGUUGGAAAGUCAGGUGUGAAAUCCUACAGCUUAACUGUAGAACUGCACUUGAAACUUCUAAUCUAGAGUAUGGGAGGGGGAGAUGGAAUUAGUGGUGUAGGGGUAAGAUCCGUAGAUAUCACUAGGAAUACCUAAAGCGAAGGCGAUCUCCUGGAACAUUACUGACGCUAAGGCGUGAAAGCGUGGGGAGCAAACAGGAUUAGAUACCCGCGUAGUC
rnacentral:rRNA from 1 species